AGCGUUGUUCUUCAAUGUGGAGUGUAUGCUUUAGAGUUUCAUGGUCUAUAUAUCAGUAUAUAUGUAUAUAUGUUUACAUACUGACGCUUCAAAUCGCAGCCUGUGUAAUCCUAACUACUUUAAUAUAUCGUUCUGUAUAUAUACCUAUAGUGCACACGGUUCAUAGAAAAUGCAUAAAAUGCGCUGGAGAAUUUAUGAUUACAUACAGAUAUUUUAUUCAUUUAUUUAGUAAAUAUCCGUUAUCUUACUUGGCCUUAAAAAGCAUUAUUAGUUAGCUGUGGAAAAUUGUGUAAUGCAAUAACGCAGAUUUGCUGGUGUACCUCAAUGGACCUGUGCUUGGCCAAUAGACAUUGAAAUUGGGAUUACAAAUGCAGAAUAUUACUGCAAGUGCAGGAGGCAAGUUGUAUAUGGAUCGCUGGUAAAGAUUUCGUGCGAGAUAUAAUCUACAAACAUGUCAAAUAUUAUUCAAACAGAAUAUCAUUUAAUAUAAUCCAACAGCUGUUCUUUCAGAAUCCGCAAUUUGUCGAAUAAUAUUCAAACACACCUCACUAAUAAAUGGGAAAUGAGUUUAUUUUCAACAAACCGGACACAUUUUUUUCUGAAUAUACUAACUAAUAAAUUCCAAUCAGAAUUCAUUGCAACAAAAAAUAGUACAACAAGGGACUUCCAAUGGGCUACGUUAAGUGGGAUAUAAACAAUUGUCUAAAUUUAACUGGUAUAAACGAAAUUUAAUUAUGAAAAAAUAAAAAUUGAUCAAAAAAUUAAAAAAGUUAACGAGGUUUUAUCUAAACAUAUAACUUGCUUAAAAGUAUCUAAGAUUUAUAUAUCAUCUUAUUUGUAUUUAUAGUUAAAAAUAGUAUGUAAAUUGGUUGUAUUUCCAAAAAUAUUAUAAAAUGAGUAAUUCGUGUAUGUGUAUGUUACAUUUGCAUUAUGAUUUGCACUAGAAAUACAUAACUGUGUAUGUAAAUAGUUAUUUACAAGCAUGAUUAUGACUAUAUGCCUUGUUGAGUACAUACUGCAUACAAACAGACGUACAUACAUAAAUAUAAAUUGUAUUUAUUUUAACGAGCGGCUUUCACAUGAUGCGUUGUCAUAAGAACUACUAUUUAAAUAUGAUACUUAUGUAAGGAAUUUACGAGCUAUGCACUCAAAUACAAAUGUACAUACAUACAUAUGUAAUAACAAAUGCAAAUGCUAACAAUUUAUAAAUACAAAAAUACGAAUACAUUUAGUAUUUAUUUUAUAAUUUUUUUACAAAAAAGUUGUAGGGGAGCUUUAUUAGUAUAUGUAUAUAUUUAUGUAUUUAUAAAAGUAUUUACGAACUAUAUAUGACAAUUGAGAAAACAUAUAGUGUAACUACUAAAUAAUUGAUAGUACUCUUACAAAUAUAACAUAUUUUUUCAUAACUGUUAUAUUCAAGCACCUUUACAGUUACACAUGUUCCUAUAUGUAUUUACAAAAUUUGUAAUUUGUAUUGUAUAAAUAAUAGAUAGUAACCAUAUAUGUAGGUACUUAUUUUAAUAGAUGUCGCUGGAGUCAAAAUAUCACUCAUUAACUAGCGAUGUCCAUAAAUUGUCAGUAGCCUUUACAAAUUACGUACUCUCAUACUGAAAAUUUUGUAAAAUUUUAUAAAAGAUUGGGUAUUAGUUUCCAAACUAGAAUUAUUGAUGCAUUUGCUCUAUGUAUGCAUAUAUGUAAAAAUUUAUCAACUCAAAGAGCAUAUGAAUUAUGUACAAACGUAUAAAGUUAACAUUUGAAGAACA